rnacentral:rRNA from 1 species
UACAGAGGGGGCUAGCGUUGUUCGGAAUUACUGGGCGUAAAGGGCGCGUAGGUGGCCUGUUAAGUCGAACGUGAAAUCCCCGGGCUCAACCUGGGAACUGCGUCCGAGACUGGCAGGCUCGAAUCCGGGAGAGGGAUGUGGAAUUCCAGGUGUAGCGGUGAAAUGCGUAGAUAUCUGGAGGAACACCGGUGGCGAAGGCGGCAUCCUGGACCGGUAUUGACGCUGAGGCGCGAAAGCCAGGGGAGCAAAGCGGG